rnacentral:rRNA from 1 species
AGCCCUAAAUCUUGAUGCUUCCCAAACACAAACAUCCGCCCGAGAACUACGAGCACAAACGCUUAAAACUCUAAGGACUUGGCGGUGCCCUAAACCCACCUAGAGGAGCCUGUUCUAUAAUCGAUGACCCACGAUCCACCCGACCACUUCUUGCCAAAACAGCCUACAUACCGCCGUCCCCAGCCCACCUCUGUGAGAGCACAACAGUGAGCCCAACAGCCCCCGCUCCGCUAAUAAGACAGGUCAAGGUAUAGCCCACGAAGUGGAAGAAAUGGGCUACAUUUUCUAAAAUAGAACACCCAACGAAAAGGGGCCUGAAACCUGCCCCAAGAAGGCGGAUUUAGCAGUAAAGCGGGACAAUCAAGCCCUCUUUAAACCGGUCCUAGGGCA